rnacentral:rRNA from 1 species
GAUUAACGCUGGCGGCGUGCAUAACACAUGCAAGUCGAACGAUGAAACUUAGUAGACUUCUUCGGAAAGACACUAAGCGGCUUAGUGGCGAACGGGUGAGUAACGCGUGAGUAACCUGCCUUACACAAGGGGAUAGCCUUUGGAAACGAAGAAUAAUACCCUAUAAAACCAUAAAAGCACAUGCUAGAAUGGUCAAAGUGAUAGCGGUGUAAGAUGGACUUGCGUCUGAUUAGCUAGUUGGUGAGAUAAAAGCUCACCAAGGCAACGAUCAGUAGCCGGCUUGAGAGAGUGUACGGCCACAUUGGGACUGAGACACGGCCCAGACUCCUGCGGGAGGCAGCAGUGGGGAAUUUUGCACAAUGGGGGAAACCCUGAUGCAGCGACGCCGCGUGAUUUAGAAGGCCUUCGGGUUGUAAAAAUCUUUUGUAUAGGAAGAAAAUGACAGUACUAUACGAAUAAGGUCCGGCUAAUUACGUG